rnacentral:miRNA from 3 species
UGCGUAGGCGUUGUGCACACUGU